rnacentral:rRNA from 1 species
UUGGAGGGCAAGUCUGGUGCCAGCAGCCACGGUAAUUCCAGCUCCAAUAGCGUAUAUUAAAGUUGUUGCAGUUAAAAAGCUCGUAGUUGAAUUUCGGGAUCAGAUCGUCGGUCGUGCCUCGGUACGCACUGGUAUUAUUGGUUCCUACCUUCUGAAGAACCGCGAUGUCAUUAAUUUGGUGUCGUGGGGAAUCAGGACUGUUACUUUGAAAAAAUUAGAGUGUUUAAAGCAGGCUUACGCUUGAAUACAUUAGCAUGGAACAAUGAAAUAGGACGUUUGAUUCUAUUUUGUUGGUUUCUAGGAUUGACGUAAUGAUUAAUAGGGAUAGUUGGGGGCAUUAGUAUUCAAUUGUCGGAGGUGAAAUUCUUGGAUUUAUUGAAGACUAACUACUGCGAAAGCAUUUGCCAAGGAUGUUUUCAUUAAUCAAGAACGAAAGUUAGGGGAUCGAAGACGAUCAGAUACCGUCGUAGUCUUAACCAUAAACUAUGCCGACUAGGGAUCGGAUGACGUUAAUUUUUUAAUGACUUAUUCGGCGCCUUACGGGAAACCAAAGUGUUUGGGUUC